rnacentral:rRNA from 1 species
UACGUAGGGUGCAAGCGUUAAUCGGAAUUACUGGGCGUAAAGCGUGCGCAGGCGGUUUUGUAAGUCUGUCGUGAAAUCCCCGGGCUCAACCUGGGAAUUGCGAUGGAGACUGCAAGGCUAGAAUCUGGCAGAGGGGGGUAGAAUUCCACGUGUGAGCAGUGAAAUGCGUAGAGAUGUGGAGGAACACCGAUGGCGAAGGCAGCCCCCUGGGUCAAGAUUGACGCUCAUGCACGAAAGCGUGGGGAGCAAAC